rnacentral:rRNA from 1 species
GACGAACGCUGGUGGCGUGCCUAAUACAUGCAAGUAGGACGCAGUUGCGAACGGGUGAGUAACGCGUAGGUAACUACCUAUUAGAGGGGGAUAACUAUUGGAAACGAUAGCUAAUACCGCAUACUAGUAGAUGGACCUGCGUUGUAUUAGCUAGUAGGUAGGGUAAUGGCCUACCUAGGCAACGAUACAUAGCCGACCGAGUGGGAUGAUCGGCACAACGUGGAAUGAGACACGGCCCGGACUCCUACGGGAGGCAGCAGUAGGGAAUCUUCGGCAAUGGUGGGAGCCCUGACCGAGCAACGCCGCGUGAGUGAAGAAGGUUUUCGGAUCGUAAAGCUCUGUUGUUAAGGAAGCGGUACUUAACCAGAAAGGGACGGCUAACUACGUCCCAGCAGCCGCGGUAAUAC